CAGACAUGGGAGAAUGUCCAGAGCCAGCUCUUGUAAGAACAAAUCACAAGUCACGCUUGGAAGAAACAAACCAAGACAACCAAGCUGCAGAUUAAUGAGGAUUCCCUCAUGGCCUUUAAUUCAAAAUGUAACUGCUCCAACAAUGCCAAUUCCUAUAGAAUAUAUCAAAUGAAUAUUAAAUUAUAUUAUAGUGAACAUAAGUAGUGAGAUCAAAUGUGAAUGAAAUGUGAAUUUGCUCUAAUUGGAUUGAUGACGGACAUGCUUGAAGGCUACAUGGAAGAAGAGGUUACAUACCACAAUGUUCAGACCAACAUUUAUCACGGUUAAAGGAGGUGAUACAGCUAUAACUUAUGAUCACUGACCUGGAGCAACAAUCUCUGUAUCCAAGGAGAUCCAGAAGAUUUCAAAGCAGCAGACUUAUCUACAUACAUGCACAUUUUCAUGUGGCCUUAUUUCUAAAGAGAAGGAUACCUAAGUGAUACUGGAUUGCAUCCACUGACUGUCAAGGUCUCCC